UACGGAGGGUGCGAGCGUUGUCCGGAAUCAUUGGGCGUAAAGGGCGCGUAGGUGGCGGGACAAGCGUGCGGUGAAAGCCUGGGGCUCAACCCCGGGUCGGCCGUGCGAACUGUUUUGCUUGAGCACUGUAGAGGCAGGCGGAAUUCCGGGUGUAGCGGUGGAAUGCGUAGAGAUCCGGAAGAACACCGGUGGCGAAGGCGGGUCUCUGGGCAACAACUGACGCUGAGGAGCGAAAGCGUGGGGAGCGAACAGG
rnacentral:rRNA from 1 species